GUGGUUUUAGUUUAAUAAAAACUUUUAUUUUGCAUGUAAAGAAUCCAAAGGUUUUUGGAAAUCACA
rnacentral:tRNA from 1 species